GGGGGUAUAGCUCAGCUGGGAGAGCGCUUGAAUGGCAUUCAAGAGGUCAGCGGUUCGAUCCCGCUUUAUCUCCACGA
rnacentral:tRNA from 1 species